rnacentral:rRNA from 1 species
AGCGAACGCUGGCGGCAGGCUUAACACAUGCAAGUCGAACGGGCAUCUUCGGAUGUCAGUGGCAGACGGGUGAGUAACACGUGGGAACGUACCCUUCGGUUCGGAAUAACUCAGGGAAACUUGAGCUAAUACCGGAUACGCCCUUUUGGGGAAAGGUUUACUGCCGAAGGAUCGGCCCGCGUCUGAUUAGCUUGUUGGUGGGGUAACGGCCUACCAAGGCGACGAUCAGUAGCUGGUCUGAGAGGAUGAUCAGCCACACUGGGACUGAGACACGGCCCAGACUCCUACGGGAGGCAGCAGUGGGGAAUAUUGGACAGUGGGCGCAAGCCUGAUCCAGCCAUGCCGCGUGAGUGAUGAAGGCCUUAGGGUUGUAAAGCUCUUUUGUCCGGGACGAUAAUGACGGUACCGGAAGAAUAAGCCCCGGCUAACUUCGUG